CUGUUUUUCCAGCAGCGGAACUUCUCGUCCUUGUUCAUGCUUCGUUCUCUCUCUACCCUGCCGUAGGAAACAUUCCACUUGAUUUUUUGUCUGCUGUUUCCCUCUCGGGCAACCUUCCACGGCAACCCGAGCCGGGGAAAGCUCACUUGGGCUUUUUUAAACGAGCGAUCGGAGGGAGCAUUUGGGGACUCAUUUGUCAGGGACAGUUGGAACAUCUUCUCCGGGUAAAGCCCACGAUUCCAACUGGGGACGCAGAGCCAGGGAUCAGCUGUGUGGUAUUCUCACAUCCACCCGACGUCAGCAUCGGGCCUGCGGCAUCUUCAGGAGCUCGUGGCGUGGGCUGGCGCCACGCGGGCGGGUCGCCCCGGGGAGAGCCGCUCACUUGCCAUGUGCUGACGAAGCUACGAUCCGGUGUGCUACCAAGACCUUUCUUCUAGAAAUAGCUGUCACCAGGACAGAGGGAUUGAAUAUUUGUUGGACAGUUGUAUGAAGAACCCCACGCUAAUGUGAACGGGCAAAAUUUAACAUGAAGACGUGUUAACUGGAACAGGAGAGUGGAGUGAUGAAGGAUUGCCUAAAAAGAAGUAAACUCUAAAGAAUACAGAAAUGGAAGAUAGGAGGAGGAGGAGUCCUUACACCCAGGACUCGGGUCAGGAGUCCAAGCUGGAAAGUCGGGGCGUUCCGUUCUCAUUUAACUGAGACCCAGAGAGGACUGCCGGCUCCACAGGAUGGCGCAGGAAAUCAGAGACGGUGCUCAGACUAAAAGUGACUCCGACGACAGCUACGUCAUCCCGGCUGCAGCAGGAAACAGAUGGCGCUCUUUGGAGAGAGAGAGGAGAAGGAGGUGAGCAAGAGAGGGAGAGGGAUCGGCUGCCUCUUGUACGUACCCCGACCAAGGACCGAACCGACAACCCAGGCAUGUACCCUGAUGGGGAGUCAAACCAGCAACCCUUUCGCUUUGGGACGACAUCCAACCCACGGAGCCACACCGGUCAGAGCUGCAGUUUAUAAACUUUUAUGUCCUUCUCCCGCAAAAUUGAAGUCUAGCAGCCUUGGCCGGGGACCCAUGCUUUCUAAAAACACUUGUACUGGGCUGGAGACCUGGCCUCCUAAGGGACGUUGAGAUAGCCCCUCCGAUCCACUGGGCAGGUGCCGGGAGAGGUGGCUGCGUUACCCGACGCCACCCAGCAGGUUGCAACCAAAUCAGACAAAGAGAGGACCUGGCCUGGCAGGUUUCCAGCAUUCACGAGAUGUGAAAAUUGGGGCAUUUCCUUUGACCUGGACAAUGGCGGGCUCGAGGACAGGCAGCCACUAGAAACACAUUCAGAAAACAACCCUUCGAACCUGUGUCUCUCCAGGGACGUCCUGGCCUCAGCGCUGUGCUUCUGGCCGCGCCGGGAAGGCCUCCACCUUCCUGAGUGGAGGGGACCUUCCAGGCCCCGGGCUCCUCCUGGACGCUGCCUCCCAGGCAACAAAGGAGGGUCUGGGGGCGCAUCCCUCCCUCUCCCUUCGUGGCUACCGCCUCCCACUCAAGGAGCUGCCUUCCAGUUGGCUGUCUCCAUGGUGAAGGUGAGAUGGUUUCCACGGCAACAGCCGGGGCGAGCUGGUUUCCUUGGUGACGAUGAGGAAGUUGAGGCACUUGGGCUCAGUGUAUCUGUCCUCUACACCAGUGCCCGCCCUGCAGAGGUCAUGCCCUGGGCUUCCCGGACUAGGGCCUUGUGUGACCAUAAUAACAGUUUUACAAGUGAUAGACUCUACCCAGGCCAGUGGACCAGUGCUCUGCUUAGGCUCUGGGUCCAGGCUGACUUGGUUUGGGCACGUGACUUCACCGGUUGGGCUCUCAGUUGUCUCAUCUGUCCAAUGGGGCUAAUAAGAAGAUCAGCCUCGUAGAGUUGUGAAGAAGUAAAUGUGACAAUAAAUUUGAGCUUAUUAUUAGAUAGUAACUUUCAUCGUUAUUGUGCACUGCUAGCCGCUGUUAUUACAAUGCAGAAAGAGGAAUACAUUGGCUUCAAUGAGACCAUCGUAGCCAUGAGGAAGCAGGAGCCAGGGACAGUGCCUGCCUGCUGGAAUCCCAGCCUUGUUAAGAGGCAGGACUAGAGGGAGAAGCCAGACACUGGGACUCGAGGCCAGCCCUUUUUCCACUCCGCCUCCUCUUGCCCGGUGGAUACACCGGCCACUGCCCUUGAUCCCCUGCUCAAUCAGAGACCCGGGGAGCUAAGUGCCUAGGCCUCCCUCCUUCCCCACGCCGCUCUGGUUUGCACCGUGAGCCUAGACUAAGUCAACGCCAGCAGGAUUGUCAGAGCAAUCAGCGAGCACAAGGCAGGAAUGACAAAUUAAUUUAGGGAGGACGUCCCAUCUCAUAAAUGACCGAUGUCUAGAACGCUUCACUGUUUCCUUGAACGCAUCUGGCAUCGCGUGGCCUCUGGCGGCUUUCCCGAACCACCUAGUGUUUGAAUUACUAAGGUGCUGCUUGUGGGACCUAUGCGUUAUUUAGGAAGUGAUACAUCAUUCUGGGAACACAACUGCUUUAGGACCGACCAGCCUGGGAAUCAAAGCCUACGUUCCAUUACAUACCAGCGAUGUGGUCUCGGAUGAGCUUGUUAACCUCCCCGGCAUCCGUUUUCUGAUCUGUGAAAACGCCUCCUGCAAAAUUCGGCGUGAAGUUUAGAGAUAAAACACUUGGGACGUGAAAGUCACUGGACAACUGGUAGCCUCUCGUUGCACACAGAUGGUCGCCUCCCACUUCAAGCUUGUUGUGUUUUCACCUCCCUUGUUGGUCCUCGUGGGAGUGUCUGAUCCAUGAAGGCCAGACUGUGCCUCAGAGGGGGCCGCACCAAAGUGAGCUCCGGAGAAGUGUGCUGGCGUGGGCACAGGCUCCCGGCCGCCUCGUCGGGGGCCUGAGGACUGCAGCCUGCCGCGGGAGCAUCACGAUCUAGGCCAGAGAGCAAAGGGACCGCCCAGCUAACUCUGCCCCAGCGCGCUCUCCAAGGCCGGCCGGGAGUGCUCACUCUGGUCUGGGGGCUGUCGAUCCGGUCCGCAGGGUGGGCCCUGUCCGCGGGUUCGGACUCCAGGGCCCUCCCCAGUACCCUCGCCUAAUUGUGUCAGAAGUUAAUAUCCAACUAAAACCUGCCAAUAGAAUUGUAUGUGCCAGAAAUUGAGGACUGAGUCCAAGGGAGAGUUCAGUCAGUAUCUUGAUAUGUUUAAAAUGUUUACACAAUAAAGCCUGGAUGGACAACUGGCUAUUUGCCACCACGAGGCACUGGAUCUGGAGAAAGACACAAAUGCAGGCAUGUACACACACGCAGAAACAAACACACACGCACCUGCACAUGCACACGUGCAUGUAUGUUCACACGUGUGUGUAUACACACAUGCAGGCUGAUGCACAGAUGCAGAGUUCCCAGAUCGUGUGUCUGCCCCCUUUCUGGUCCUGGCAACAUUUAUGACCUUAGGUGAGGGAAAUACGUUAAAGUACACCCCACCCCCACCCCCGCCGGCUUCUGCUGUUAGACUAGGUCAAGUUCACUGCUGCCACUUGCAACCAAAGAAUCCUAAGGGAUGCAUUCACUCCCUUUCAGCAGGAGGGCGGGCAGACGGCAGGCUGUGAUACCCCUGAAGGAAUUCAGUUAACGGAGGUUCUAUUCCUCAGACUUUCCUUAAUAAUAAUAAUAAAGUAACGCCCACCUGCUGGGCAAAAGGGUCAUGAACUCUUCUCAUCUCACAUCCUCCUCCACAUAAACACCCACCACGGCAGACAGAUACCAACUGGAAGGGCCUCAGCAAUGGCAUUCACUGAGUUCUUGGCUCUCGCAGGCGCCUGAGGAGCUCACUCCCCUCUGGGGACAGAAGGGACUCGGGACGCCAAAGAUGAAAUGCAGCCGCGCACCGCCGGCCUGGGCAGCUUUCGGGCUGCGUCAGCUGCUGCGGACGAGGUGCGCGCAGUGUGUCCCUCUGUGCCGGAAGCGGUCCGGCGACGGCCGCCACAGCCAAUGAGAAGGUCGCAGAUCCCUGGGGUCGCCGCAGAAAAGCAGCCCCACUCACGGGCCCUGAGAAUUGUGGGUUCAGAAGCACCCUCGAGAACGCCCAGAGGACGACACCCCCAGAAGGCAGAGCCACACUGAGGACGGGGUCCCUGUGUGGCUUGGGGAAGAGGCGCCUUCGGGUGCAGGGCCGCUCCCCAGGAAGCGGGUGCCGGUGCAGGCUGGUCUCCCAGGAAGCAGGCUUUGAGGAGCGUUUAUGGACAGGAUGUUUGUUAAGGAGUGUCGCUGCAACCCUCACCUGGGAGGGGACAGGAAGGAAAGAGGGUUGGGCAGAGGGACAAGGUGAGGCCCAGCAAUACCCUCGCUGACCCUGCAGGGAACACUGGAGCCACGAUGACCUUCAUGGUUGCCUCCCUUUGGACAGACCUGGCCCAGCCUUCCUGCCUUCCCCACUGGACGCAGCCAGCCCAGGAAGGACCAGCCAGCCCCGGGCACUGAGCUUGUCUCAGGACAGCAUGCCCAGCUGCCUGGCAAGCAGGCCCUCCAGGCACGGGGGUCUUGGUGGCAAUUCUAAGCGUCCACCAACAGUAACCCCCUGCAGGAGGCAGAGCAGACACCAGUCGGAGGGAGCUGCAGCAAACCCGAUUCCAGCACAGCAUGCUGUGGGCACGGCCGCUCACCCUCUGAACCCGCAUCUGUGAGGCGUGUACCUAUGCCCACCCUCGCCCAACACUGGGUGAAUCCAGCCCCUGUCCUCACGAAGCAUGUACUCCAGCAGUCUAAACAGGGACACAGUGUCUGAGUCACCCAGGCCUGGGAGGCGUCAGCCUACAGAGGUGUGGGAACUUCGGGUUUAACUGAACUAAGAAAUAAAAUUUUAACAACUAGAGUUG